GUUGCCAUCAUUCAGUUGGGCACUCUAGAGGGACUGCCGGUGUCAAACCGGAGGAAGGUGGGGAUGACGUCAAGUCCUCAUGGCCUUUAUGCCCAGGGCUACACACGUGCUACAAUGGGCGGUACAAAGAGCAGCGAGCUCGCGAGAGUAAGCAAAUCUCAAAAAGCCGUCCUCAGUUCGGAUUGGAGUCUGCAACUCGACUCCAUGAAGUUGGAAUCGCUAGUAAUCGCAGAUCAGCAACGCUGCGGUGAAUACGUUCCCGGGCCUU
rnacentral:rRNA from 1 species